rnacentral:lncRNA from 1 species
UUUGGUUAUAUUUCCAGAUCGGUGAAUUUCAAUGGUUCUGCUUUAUUAUUUGUGUACCGUUUUAUUUCCUGAAGCCUCAGCUAGAAGGAUCCCUCAGCAUUUCUGACCUCGCUUGGAAAGGUUGCCUUUCCCCAGCUGCACAAGGAGAACAAUUGUGCAAAGCAAAGCGAACCCGGCGCUGCGCUCUGCUGUCGGUUCCAGAAGUACAAAGUUGUUGCGGUUACCCCAGCUCAGGCUGUAGCAUCUCCAUGGCCAAGGAAAGGUGGACGACUGCUCGAGGCAACUGCCUGGGAACCACAGCAUCAUGGAAGGGAAGGCCGUCUGUGCUCCAUGACAGCUGUCCUGGCUGCCGACCUGUGUGCACACCCCCAAACCCUUCAGUCUGAGGCAGUCCUGAACAGGGCAGUUAUAUGGACCAACCUCAUUACUCUGCUGCAGACUUGAUUCCAGAGGUGUAAGAACGGAAGUGUGCUCGUUGCGUGCAGUGAGCAUCAGCAAAUUUGUAUCUCAUUUAUAAAAUUCACCCCAACUAGAAUUGGUACAAAUGGCUCCACAGCUGCUUUUUUCAUGUGUGAUGCAGAAUUUGGUGCUGCCCUGCAGCAGCUGCUCAUGCUUGUUGGUGCUGCUGAGCAGCUCCUGUCCCGGCUUGGCCUUCCUCCUGCCUCCAGCAUCGCCACUUGGCAUGCUCAUGGUUCACACAGCAGCCCUGGGACGCCGGGCAGCUCGCUGCACCUGGUUUAGAUUUAAGGCUUGUUUGCACAUGAUGUCACACUCCUAUUGUCAGCGCAGCAAAGGUCAAGACAGUUCAUUUUGGGAAGGUUUGCAUUGUUGAGUCUUCGCAGUGCAGCCCUUAAUGCCUUAACCAUCUGACUUGCAUUUCAGUUUUCUGGCAUGAUGUAAUAAUCAAACGCACUAGGUUUAUACAGCGUAUGGGAGUCUGAUUGGCCCAUGUUGUAGAACUGCUUUUCUGGAGACUGGGUCCAUGCUGGAGUCUCCCUCCCAGAGCAGACCUUGGACAUAGCAAAGCAAAGGUGCGUUCAGUGCAUUGCUGUG